AAGCGCUUUAGUCAAAUUAUGUUUUUUUUGCCCUACAUAAGAUAUUUACUUUUUCAUCAGACUGAAGAAGACACCCAAGAACUCAGAAGUGCUAAAGCUGCUGGUAGAGAAGAUUACAUUUUGGCCAUCUGCAAACUUCAUGGGUUCCAGGGAAAGCCUGUGCUGGAAAAUCAGCUGCAAGCCCUGGAUGCUGAGUUUCAUCAGCUAAAGGACCUGCGAAAGAUGACCUACAUGCUGUAAAUCCAUUAACUGUAAUGAUCACACAGCUAAUAAGUGUCUAUUUCAGAGAGCUGUAAUGAAGCAGCUGAAGUGUGGGCUUCUUGAGGCUCAUUUCUUCCUGUUGGAGUCUCUGGCACUGCAACGGAACAGGAAAGAGCCCUGGCUAGGAAGGAGGUGCCAGGCAUUAUCAGCAUUACUGAGGCUCACCACCCCUGCCUGCAAAUAACUAUUAGAUAUGCAGAAUAAGUAGAGGAGCAGGAGGACGAGAGGCUGUAGCCGGAGAGCCAGCAUUUACCCCAGAGCACGACCCUCACCACACUGCACAACACCGCACAGCGCACGCACCACGACCCCCGGAGGAAAAAAGCACAGUUUUCGUGCACGGAGGAUUGUGGCUAACGGCGUGUCUUUUUGUUUACUUUUUGGACUUUUAACCUUUUUGUUAUUUUGCCCCAAUACCAUCGAUUGGUAGAGUGGCUUAUUAUUAUUUCGUUUUUGUAUUACUUUUUGAACUUUCUGUUGGAUUGUAAUAAAUAUUGUUA